AACAAAUCAUCAUAGUCGUGCGCUUCGGCGCACCGCUAUAUACACCCCAAGCCUGGGAAGAGCAGCAAUGCUUGGAACGGCUUUGGUUGCAGCCUUCGGGCUGUAGGCUAGGGCGCCGCAAGGCAAACUAGCCACAUAGACGCUUGCUUAGUUUGACAGAGUUUAGUUGCAUCAAAAAAAUA
rnacentral:misc_RNA from 1 species